CCACAUCAAAACUCUCUCUCUCUCUCUCUCUCUCUCUCUCUCUCUUCAGCAAGCAACCAUCUUGAGAUGAAGGCCAUGAAAAAGAAAAAGAAAAAGAAGAGGCAUGAUAUCGUGGGUUAGCAGAAAGUUGGAAUGAGAGGAAUCGGUAAAAAGUGCAAACAACACGAUGCCAAAAGAAGAAACCUACAUGCAGCAACCAAACGGAGAAUGAUUGCACAGCAAACAACACGUGAGCAGAAGAUGUGGCUGCAGCUAAAGUUAUUAAAGAAGAACAACUGGCAAUAAACAAAAUAAAACAAAGAGCUUGUAGGCAUGUGAAGAUUGGCAGCAGUACAGAAGAAAGAGAAAAGCAAGAGCAUUGGCUCCGUUCGCUCUCUAUAAAUAGGGAACUCAAUAAGAGGAUGGGGAAAAGACGAGUGUGCAUAUUUUGGUGAAGACUUGGGCACCAAAUAGAGUUAGAGUUAGAGACCCUGGGGAUCCGAGAGGCAAGGAUCCAGGGGCAUCUACUAUUCUAGUUUUCCUUUUAAUUUCUCAAUUGUUGUAAUAAAAUUAUUUUGCUAAAUUUUCCUUUAUAAAUUUUU